UAGGAUUUGGUAUUAGAAAAGAUGUGUAAAUAUCUUAGUAUAUAAUUGUUUCUCAUUUGAGGUUUUUCUUCUAAGGGACCUUAAAGAGUUUUAUAUACUUUUGCUCACAGAAACUGCUGGUGAGAUUACCAUUUUUUGAGUAUCUAGUCUUCUAGUUUUUCUUUUAGGCAUUAGGAAGCCUUCUUUAGAGUUCAAAAUUUUAGAAGCCUAAUUUGCUCUUACUUCCUUCAAUUAUGUGCCAUGUGUUUUGGUUUGUAUAUGUUUUAAAUUGUAUAUUUCCUUGGAAUAUGCUUGAAAUAUUUAAGAAUACAUUUUCAAAAUGUAUAAUACUGUAUUGUUUUGUUGAUCAGAAUAAUAAGUCUCAGUUAAAUGUUUGUUAUUACUGAUAGUCAAAAUGCUCAAUAGAAAUGAUGAGAGGCAUUGGUUCCAAUUCAUUGUCAAAUGAACGUUUUCUAAUUUUGUUCACAGAUUCUUUCCCUUUCGAUUGUUCUGUAUGUUAAGAUAGUGGCUUCUGCUCUCACUGUUUUCCUAUUUAUAUUACUAGCAGGUAGGAGUGCUAAUUAGAAAAACUUAGAUGGUAUUGAAAUUACAGUUGACAACUUAUAUUUUUAUGAGAUGGAGAAAAAAGAUUAAGUUGAUAUAACAACAAAGUGGACUUUUUUUCUUCCUUAUCCUGCACGAAAUAUUGCCCUUGUUUCCUCUACUUUCCUCUUGGUGUUUUCUCUUUUUUUCAAACAGAAACAGGCCAAUUCCAUUUUCUUGAGCAAGAAAGCUUAGUGUGUUACUUCAUCAAGGCCAGCUAAUACUGUGUUAAACCGGGCUGAAAAUGAGAAAACUUGGGAGAUGGAGGAAUGGGGAAAUGGCAGUGGGAUAGGUAGGGAAGGAUUACUCUUAAUUGUUUUAAAAGCCAUAGGAAAGUCUUCCUUGUACGUGGCUGUAAAUUUAUAAGAACUAUUGUGUCACAUAAACCAACAAGAAUGAACCUUUGCUGCUUCAGAUAAUUUGAUUUUUCCAGCAAGGAAAUUAAUAAGUUACUGAUUCUUCAGCAUAGAAACAACUGAGAAGAAUUAAUGCAAUGUUUCUUCACUAGAAAACCCAACCCUUCAUUUCUUUUCAUUGCUCCAAAACCCAGUUUUCAACUAAUGGUUUUCUCAUUAAACUAAAUGUUUAGAAAAGUUGUUUAGAGUUUUUCUUUUUCUUUUACAUAGUCCUCCUGAUCCAGUAUAAGACUAUUUAGUAACGUGCAUUUGUAUGGUACUAUCUAAAGUAAGUUAGAUUGAUGUAAGAGAUCGGGUAGCUGCGGAACAAAAUUAGUUAUAUCCUAAUUAGGUACAGUGAAUGACACAAAAUCAUUUUAGCAAUGCUUCUUAACCUUUUGGGGUCACAGGCGUUUUGAGACUGAUGAAUCCUAGGGACUUAUUUACCCAGGAAAAUGCGUAUAUAACAUACAUAUCUCCCUAAAGUUUACAAUAUUGUAGUGGUUCAUGGGCCCCCUGGUUAAGAGCCCAUUCUAAAGUACAAUAGGGCAUCAUCCCUUUUCCUGCAAAGCCCAAAAGUAUAUUUCUAGGGCAUGAAAAUAACUUGAGUCUAUUUUAAGGAAUUGUUUCACUCUAGAGGUAGAUAGGGGACCUGGCUAGAAUCUGACAUUAAAAUAUACUUUUUAAAAAAUAUUAUAUUUGGGGUGGGGAAAGUGAUUAAAAGGUGAAAAAAAAACAUAGUAUUCAGAAGUUUUGGAGGUUAAUGUCUUUCUCUAAGAUUUGCCACUUUAGAAAUUCAACAGAAAAGAGGUAAAACAGAAAUGGAAUGUAUCUGGAACAUUUUUGGCCUCCAUAGUGCAGAUAUACUAUAUUAACAAGUAAUACAUUUAUUUACCUGUCAGAUCUCCAGGUUUUAAGAUUUUGAGCUUUCUAGUAUUAGGAUUCAUUAAAUGUUCAAUUCAUUUCAUAUUCUAAGGAAUUAGGUUAUUUACUUACUAAUUCAGGAUGUUAAAAUAACAUCCAAGUCGGACAACCACCACCAAUGCACACAGUUAAUGAGAUUUCUAAAAUAUAAUAAGUACAAUGUAACAAACGUAUAGAAUUUUGCAUUUGUUGCCAAAAUUAGAUGUUUAAUGACAGCUUAUUUAAUUCCCAUUUGUGGGACUUCUGGAACAUAGAAACCAUUAUCUUACCUGGUUAUCCCUUGACUAAAUAGCAUAUCUGCAGGAAAAUAUCUUGUUUGUAGUGAUAUGCCCCAAUAGUGAUUGAUUUCACUCUUGAAAUGAGUUAUAUCACUUAAUUUGUAUAAAUGUUAUGAGUGGAGAGACAUGUACAUGUUAAAAGCAUGUUGCAUUAUAUAUUCAUUUUUUAAACUCUAUAAAUGUUAAGAAUAAUAUAAUUGCAGAAAUAUUUUUCUUAAAUACAAUGUGUAACAAAAUUCUCCGUAGCAACUCACCCACUUUGCAGUUUAUGUGAUCCACACUUUUAAAGAAAUUCCAUAAAUGUAUAUUUUGUAUUAUGUAUUAUUUCCUGGUCCAAAGAAAAUAUGUGAAUUCAGUUCUAACUUUAAGAAUGUACUGUUUGUUUUCAAGUUCAUUGAAAAAUUGCAUUCAGCCUGCGAAUGGUUGCAGAUUGUAUGUUAGAUGAAAAGUAGAAAUAAUUUCUAGUUUGGAAAACUGGUGCCACUAAAUAAACAGGCAAUUACAU
rnacentral:tRNA from 10 species